rnacentral:lncRNA from 10 species
AGUAGAGACAGGGUUUCACCAUGUUGGCCAGGCUGGUCUCGAACACUUGACCUCAGGUGAUCCACUGGCCUUGGCCUCCCAAAGUGCUGGGAUUACAGGCGUGAGCCACUGUGCCUGGCUCCUUUUCAAUUUUUGUAGAGACAAGGUCUCACUAUGUUGCUCAGGCUGGUCUUGAACUCCUGGCUUCAAGCCAUCCUCCCAAAGUGCUAGGAUUAUAGGCAUGAGCCACUGCACCCAGCCACUACCUGACAGCUUUUAAGCCAAAGCUUAGUGGAAUCAUGGGAGGGAGAAAUCCUAGCGUCAGCAAGUGAGGACUCGGGCAAGGAAAAGGACCUCUCCUCUCCAGGUCCACUUAGUGCCAGAGCUCUGCGCCUCACAACACACUGCUUGUUCCAGGCUCCACUUUUUCUUCUCAAAAUGCUUUAUAAAUGCCUGGUCCCCAUCCUCUUUGGAGUAAGGGUUAACGCUAUUCUUCAGGUAAUAAAAUAAGGCACAGACUCUCUUCAUAUGAUCUGGUACAACACCUCAUCCCAGAUGUGAAAUCCUCUUUGCCUAGCCAGGCCAUGCUUUCCUCCUCCAGGCAGGCUUCCAGAUCUCCAGCUGCAGCUACUCAUCCAGUCAGGAGCCAAGAGAACGAGAGAGGUAGACAGGGUGCAGCCUGCAGCCUUCUGCAACCUCCAGCCCCAGAACCCCUCAGCACCAGUUUAUAAAUGAAAGAGGUUUAAUUGACUCACAGUUCCGUAUGGCUGGGGAGGCCUCAGGAAACUUACAAUCAUGGUGGAAGGGGAAGCAGGCACAUCUUACAUGGUGGCAGGCAAAAGGCGGCCAGAGCAGGGAAAACUGCUUUAUAAAACCAUCAGAUCUUGUGAGAACUCACUCAUAUCACAAGAACAGCAUGGGGGAAACCGCCCCCAUGAUCCAAUGAUUUCCCUUCCCUUCCUUACAGGUCCCUCCCUCGACACCUGGGGAUUACAAUUAGAGAUGCGAUUUGGAUGGGGACACCGAGAGAAACCAUGACAGGGGCUCUCCAGAGAAGCAGCCCAGCCUUGGGCAACUUAGUUCUCCCAUCUGACCAUCCAACCCAAUAAGGCUGCUGACUCACAUAGGACCAGGUUAGUGUUUUUCUUAAAGGCACUACCUUUUUGUGGCUAAUUUUUAGAAUUUAUUUUUAUUAUUAUUUUUUUGAGACGGAGUCUCACUCUGUUGCCCAGGCUGGAGUGCAGUGGCGUAAUCUUGGCUCACCACAACCUCUGCCUCCCGGGUUCAAGCAAUUCUCCUGCCUCAGCUUCAUGAGUAGCUGGG